GUCUAUAGCUGUACUACCCUGAACAUGCCUGAUCUCAUCUAAUCUAAAAGAAGCUAAGUAGGGUUGGUUCUGGUUACUACUUGGAUGGGAGUAAGCUAUAGAAU
rnacentral:rRNA from 1 species